rnacentral:rRNA from 1 species
ACGUAGGGGGCGAGCGUUGUCCGGAAUUACUGGGCGUAAAGCGCACGUAGGCGGGCUGUUAAGUCGGCCGUGAAAGGCACUGGCUCAACCGGUGUUUGUCGGUCGAUACUGGCGGUCUGGAGUAUGGGAGAGGGAAAUGGGAUUCCCGGUGUAGGGGUGAAAUGCGUAGAUAUGGGGAGGAGCACCGGGGGCGAAGGCGGCUACCUGGACCAUAUCUGACGGUGAGGUGCGAAAGCCAGGGAAGCAAACGG